rnacentral:ncRNA from 1 species
CAUUUAUCAAGAGUGGCAGAGGGUCAGGCCCUGUGAAGCCCAGCAACCUACAUUUGUAAGGUGCUAAAUCCUGCGGUAUAACCGAAAGAUAAGUU